AAAUUCGAAUCAAUUAGGAUCAUAGCAUAUGAAAAGGCCUUAUGACAUCUGUUGAUUGGAAUAUCUCCCAUAUUACAGCUUAGUGGCAAGGGCACAUAGCUAGGAAAUGGUCUCUGUUGAAAGCCUGGGGCCAGAGAAAACAGCAAAGAAUAUUUUCUGGAAGUGACCAGGGACACUGGAUGGAUACAGAGGGAUGUGCUAGAGGAGUGGCAUCAGCAUUUUGAGAAGCUUAAUGGAAGAUCAGCCCAAGGAUUCCACACAUAGGUAGUGUUGGCCAUCAGGGGUGGUAAACAUGAUUGUAGUAAUGGCAGUGAGGGACCUUGAUCAUCCUGGAUCUGUGGCAAAGGCUAGCAAUGAGGACAACUAAUGAAGGUAUAUCUUGGCUAAAAUAGCCAAAGGAGAAGACUGGAAACAACUGACAUCAACCAUGUUUUUCUUGUGGUUGGUUUUAUGUUCUUAGUACUGAGGAUUGAAACAGGCACUCUACCACUGAGCUACAUCCUGAGGUCCCUGAUGUCAGCCAUUUUAGCAGAAUCUUGGUCUAUUUACAACCAGUUCUCAGACCCAAAGACCAUGAUUAGUUGAGGAAAGGCAUGGCACCAUUACAACUACACAAUAUUUUACUAUAUUUCUCUCCAGGGCCAGGGCAUUAGGAAUGAAUGAUCCCAGUCUCUCGGGGCUGUUGGACAUUGGGUCUAAGUCAGCAUGAAUAUCGGGACCCAUUAUUCCCUGAUGACCCCUUUGUUAGAGAACAAUUCCAGAAAGGUAGAGUGGCCUUGGAUUCUCUGGAUGGAUAACUGUGUCUCACAGGUUUUAUAGACCGUUAUGAUGUCAAAACCCAAGUGUGAGUGGGCAAGGGUACUCCAGAAAGCCAAUCUCUCACUGGGUCCCUGGUUUGUGAAGAGUCACAAUGGUAGGAAAGACCAAGAACAACCCAAAUGGUUUUCCCCAUCCGGGAAAGUAAAUCAGCAUUGUGCAACUUUUGAGGUUAGGAACAUGUAUAGAGACCAAAAAAUUUCAAUUUUUUUUCCUGCUGUAUUGAACCAAAGCAGCACACAUGCUAGGCAAGUGCUCUACCACUAUAUUCCCAGCCCUGCAUCUUGCAACAAUUUGUGGUAGGACAUUUUGGAUUUUGAAGAAAGAUUGACACUUGAAAAACUGUUGCCCAAUUGCCAGAAGGCUGCAAGAGUUCUGUCAGCUGCUCUGCCAUCUGCUACAAAUGACAGAGCAGGCCCUACCACAGAGGUACCUGUGUUCAUAAAUGAUUCCAGCUGAGUACAGUGGCACAUGCUAUAAUCCCGGAGACUCAGAGGCUGAGGCAGGUGAUUCUCAGUUCAAGUCAAACCUGGGCAACUUAGUGAGAUCCUGUCUCAAAAAAGUAAAAAGCUCAGUAGUUAAAGCGCCCUUGGGUUCAAUUCGUAGGACCAAAAUAUAUAGGAGAGGAGGCUGCAAAUGAAGCUCAAUGGUAGAGUACUCCUGGUACUACCAAAAAAUAAGAUGAUUUUAUGUGGUGACUGAGAAAGCUAAAUAAACAGUUCAAAUCCCAAGUGUCUGAAUCAAGGCCACAUCUUCUGCAGGAGAGAGCUAGUAGUUAUUAAAAAAUCAGCCCUUAGCCAGGCACAGUGGCAUAUGCCUGUAAUUCCAGCAACUCCAAAGGUGGGAACAGGAGGACAAAAGUUCAAACCACCCUCAGCAACUUAAUGAGACCCUGUCUCAAAGUUAAAAAAAAAAAAAAGAAAGAAAGCUAGGGAUGUAGCUUAGUGGUAAAACACCCUGGGUUCAAUCUCCAGCAGCCACCCACUUAAAAAAAGAAAAAAAAAAAAAAUCAGCCCCUGAGUACUACUGAAUUCAUCAGAGCUGGGCCCAGUGCAUGGGAGACCAAGUCACCCUGUAGUAAGACCAACUUCAUGUGCCAGGUGCUGGCGGGUGCAUUUAUGUUUCCCAGUCUGGUUUAGAACUCCUGGACUCAAGCAAUCCUCCUGCCUUAGUCUCCCAAGUAGCUAGGGUUACAGGC
rnacentral:lncRNA from 1 species